CAGUCGCCACGGGAAUACGUAGGUGGCGAGCGUUGUCCGGAUCUAUUGGGCGUAAAGGGAGUGUAGGCGGUCUUUUAAGUCUGAUGUGAAAGCCCACGGCUCAACCGUGGAGGGUCAUUGGAAACUGGGAGACUUGAGUGCAGAAGAGGAGAGUGGAAUUCCACGUGUAGCGGUGAAAUGCGUAGAGAUGUGGAGGAACACCAGUGGCGAAGGCGACUCUCUGGUCUGUAACUGACGCUGAGGAGCGAAAGCGUGGGGAGCGAACAGGAUUAGAUACCCGAGUAGUCCCUGUCUCUUAUAA
rnacentral:rRNA from 1 species